AGUACUCUUUCCAGAGGGCCAGAUACCCAAAUUCGAUCAUCCAAUCGCCAACGUCCCCCGAAAACAGAGUCCAGCCUCCAGAAACCUCCUCAUCUCAUUUACAUUUAUCUGUGCACUCUAGUGCAGAUUCGGAAGGACACUUCACUAAGGUUCGAUCAUGGUACCCUCCAAAUUAUACCAACCACAAACCCUAAUUCCAAAUUCCUAAUUUCCAAUUUCCCAAUCUCUCUCUCACUAACAGUGCAAGAACCAUGUCUCACUUCGGUAGGUCUGGCCCUCCGGACAUCACCGACACCUACUCUCUCCACGUCCUCAACAUCACCUUCCGUACGAGCGCUGAUGAUCUGUUUCCGCUUUUCGAUAAGUAUGGCAAGGUUGUUGACAUCUUCAUCCCCAGAGACCGGAGGACUGGGGAGUCAAGGGGGUUUGCUUUUGUUCGAUACAAAUACGCAGAUGAGGCUCAGAAAGCAGUUGAAAGGCUUGAUGGGAGAGUUGUUGAUGGCCGGGAGAUAACUGUUCAGUUUGCUAAGUAUGGGCCAAAUGCAGAGAGGAUUCAUAAAGGAAGGAUUUCUGAAGCUCUACCAAAAUCAAGGUACAGGUCAAGAAGUCGCAGUCCUCGGAGAAGGUACCGAGAUGACUACAGAGACCGUGAUUACAGGAGGAGAAGUCGCAAUAGGAGUUGGGAUAGGUAUGACCGUGACAGAUACCAUGGGAGGGACAGAGACUACCGUCGACGAAGCAGGAGCCGUAGUGCCAGUCCUGAUUACUACAGGAUCAGGGGAAGGGGGUGCUAUGAUGAAAGGCGGAGUCCGAGUCCAUAUAGGAGUCGGAGUCGGAGUCGUACUCGGAGUCCAUAUCGGUCUAUUGAUAGUGCCUCCCCUGCUCGGCGUAGCCCUAGUCCACGUAAGAGCCCUUCCCCACUAAGCAGGAGCCGCAGUGCCAGCUCUGAUAGACGUAGUCUUGAUGGACAAUCCCCAACCUCUCGAAGUGUUUCACCACGCCAUCGUCCUGCUGAUUCUUGAAGCCCAUCCCCCCGAAAUUUAGAUUUUGAUGUGAGUUGAUGUCUACAGUUUUGAUUGCUUCUGGAAUGAUUACUUUCUCUUGCAUGGGCAGAAGAGUAUUGGUUUGCUCUGCUGAUAUCGGGGAUCCUUGAUCAUCAUGCUUGUUUCUUUUGGAUCUUUUACGUGCUAGUUCUGUUCUGUUCGUGAAAAGAGUGAUUGAGGCCAAGAUAAGAGGAUGUUGAUUCGCAGCCGUUGAUGCUGUUUCUAGUUUGUAGAUGGAUGGUCGUGGUUGUGAUGGUGGUCUUAAAGUAUGAUUGUUUUUCGCAGUGAGCUGGUUGCAGGGCCAGUAGCUUAAGCUGAUUUUCUCCAUACGUGAUAUAUGUUGGUAAGAAAUAUGGCUUGGCUAUUUGUUUCUGAAGUGUUAUGUAAUUAGGAUUUCUAUGUUUGACCUAAUAGUCGGUUAAAGGGGUUUUAGCUGCUGUGGCGGUCGUAACUGGGUCUUUACCUGUAGCUGAUGCUGCAUGUGAUUUGGACGGACAUGUUGUUCCUUAUGAACCUGAAUGGGUUUGUAGUUGCUGUGAUGGUAGAAAUUGAACUGGUGUUUCCCUGCUGCCUGAUAAUGCACAUGAGUUGGACCUGUGAUUUAGUAACCAGGCUGCGGAUACCCAUUAUGAACUGUGGAUACUAACUCUGAAACCUUGUAUGUUGGGCCCCACUUUGCAGUCACAGUAAUGAGACACGGUAAACAAGUUUGUGGUUAAUUUCUUUAGGCUAUGUUUGGAUGAGGGAUUUUCAAGUCCUAAGGGAUUGAUGCCAAGUUAGUAAGGGAUGGAUUACAAAUUAUUAGGUAAUAAAAGGGAUUAGAAUGGCACACAUGAGCAUUACGAAGGCAUGUAAAAGAGUUUUAUAAAUGAUUCCUUCCUAGUAGGGAUUUGCAAACCCCUCUCACAUGCCUUUUUAAUGUUCAUGUGGUGCAUUUCUAAUCCCUUUUAUCGAGCAUUUUGUAAUCCUUUCCUUAUUAACUUGACCUCAAUCCCUUUGGGCUUGGGAAAUUUCUCAAUCCCGUAGGGUACUUUAGACUACUAUAUCUAGUCCCAACCUGUUUUCAAUUGUAUAACCUAUGCUGCUGGAUUUAUAUAGAUCUUGUAUCACAUGUUGGUGGCUCUAGCUGUGAAAUGGUAGCUGUAUUAUGUUGUAUCAGAAUCUUGUGUGGGUUCGUGAACAACUGAAGUUGUAGCGAAUAACCACCUGCUGCGCUGUUGCUGCCAUUUUAUGAUGGGGUCCGGUAGGCUAUGACCAGUUGGGGCCCUGAGAAUGGCCGCUUGGCUAUCUAUCUGGCAUGUCCUGAUUGCCGAAAGAUUUACUUUGUUUUCUGUUAUGCCUGAUUGAUAAAUGGCUGUGCAUAGUUGCUGGUCCUAGUUCCAGAAGCUCGUUUCUUAAUCAGUCUUUUAACAUUUACGACAUAAUAAUUGCAUUUAACGAUUAUGGGGUUGAUCUGGGGAAGAUCACUUGGUCUUCUUACAUAUAAUGUUCUUUUGCCAAUCUUAUGCGCCUAUUGUUCCACGUAUAUUGUAGGUUGCUGCGAAUCUUUCGUAAGACUGGUAUCAGAUAUCCUGUUGUGCUUUUGACAGUGAGAACAUGUAAGGCCCUUGUUUUUGCUUACGUUGUAGACUCUUAUAUUUUCAUGCUGUAUUCUUGUGUUGUGUUCUAGUAUUGAUGAGUGAGAACUUUAGAAUGUAGGGGAAUGCUGCAUCGCUAAAUCAUUGUUUUAGUGAUGGACCAGACAUGUAUUCUUGUGCUUGACUAGACGUUUUCAAUUUCGAGUUCUGAUUUUCUCGUUCACCGCU